UAUGAUUCCUGAGGCCUUGCAGUU
rnacentral:piRNA from 1 species